rnacentral:rRNA from 1 species
CGUGANNNNNGANNNCCUGUGGGUUGUAAACCUCUUUUCUCAAGGAAGAAGUUCUGACGGUACUUGAGGAAUAAGCAUCGGCUAACUCUGUGCCAGCAGCCGCGGUAAUACAGAGGAUGCAAGCGUUAUCCGGAAUCACUGGGCAUAAAGCGUCUGUAGGUUGCUUNNNAAGUCUGCUGUUAAAGAUCNGGGCCUAACCCAGGNAAAGCAGUGGAAACUNNUAGGCUUGAGUGUGGUAGAGGUAGAGGGAAUUCCUGGUGUAGCGGUGAAAUGCGUAGAUAUUAGGAAGAACACCAAUGGCGAAAGCACUCUACUGGGCCAUAACUGACACUGAGAGACGACAGCUAGGGGAGCAAAAGGGAUU